CGAAACCAAUCGCGUCGUUUAACCGCAGCGUCCAUGCCCAAGUCAUCGGCGCUGCCCAAGUGGUCGCUGGCUGAGCUCGCCAGGGCCGCCAAGGAGAGGUUCCGGGAUCUCGAUGCCUCCACCUUCGCCAAGAUGCAUUCUGGAAUCAAAUAACUUUGAGUUAUAUUGCAUUUAUAUUGCUUCUGAUGCUCUUGCCACUUUUAAGGAUUUGCUUACAAAAAAAAAUGAAACAACAGUCUCUCUGUUUCUGAUUUCCUAUUACGAAUAGGGUAAUUGCUAAGUUCUCCAUAUGCUACUCUUGUCAGUUAUAUUUCCUCUUAAUCCAGAAUAGAAGGAUAGUUUUCUGGAGGACCGAUCUGCUUGUUGCUUAACUUGUAUCAGAUGUGCUCAUCUCAUCGAAGUGCGUUGUUGCAGUUCUUCGAGCUUUCUGAGAAACUAUUGGCCUUUCCAAAAUAUGUAACAAGAAGACAAUCCUUAAAGGGUUGUUACUUUACUGAUACGCUUAUCUAGAUUGAAUGUUUGCUCCUUUUA